rnacentral:rRNA from 1 species
UACGUAGGCAGCGAGCGUUGUUCGGAGUUAUUGGGCGUAAAGAGCGUGUAGGCGGCCCGAUUAGUCCGCUGUGAAAGUCCAGGGCUCAACCCUGGAAUGCCGGUGGAUACUGUCGGGCUGGAGUCCGGAAGGGGCGAGUGGAAUUCCUGGUGUAGCGGUGAAAUGCGCAGAUAUCAGGAGGAACACCAAUGGCGAAGGCAGCUCGCUGGGACGUGACUGACGCUGAGACGCGAAAGCGUGGGGAGCAAACAGG